UGAACGCUAGCGGCAGGCUUAAUACAUGCAAGUCGAACGGUAACAGCAACUUCGGUUGGCUGACGAGUGGCGCACGGGUGAGUAACGCGUACAAAAUCUACCUUUAACUGGGGGAAAGUCGCUGGAAACGGCGAAUAAUCCCGCAUAAGACCACGGCAUCGCAUGGUGCAGAGGUUAAAGGCUUCGGUCGGUUAGAGAUGAUUGUGCGUUCCAUUAGCUAGAUGGUAAGGUAACGGCUUACCAUGGCGACGAUGGUUAGGGGGCGUGAGAGCGUGAUCCCCCACACGGGUACUGAGACACGGACCCGACUCCUACGGGAGGCAGCAGUAAGGAAUAUUGGUCAAUGGAGGGAACUCUGAACCAGCCAUGCCGCGUGAGUGAUGAAUGCCCUUUGGGUUGUAAAGCUCUUUUGGAUAGGAAGAAUGGUCGGGAUUUAUCCCGGACGCGACGGUACUAUCAGAAUAAGCACCGGCUAACUCC
rnacentral:rRNA from 1 species